CGUGAACGCUGGCGGCAUGGCUAAAACAUGCAAGUCGAGCGCGAAAGUCCCUUCGGGGGCGAGUAGAGCGGCGAAAGGACUAGUAAUGCGUUUCUAUGUACCCCAUGGUCGGGGAUAGCCCGGGGAAACCCGGAUUAAUACCCGACGCCCUCUUCGGAGGAAAGAUUUAUCGCCAUGGGAGCAGGGAACGUCCUAUCAGGUAGUUGGUGAGGUAAAAGCUCACCAAGCCUUAGACGGGUAGCGGGUGUGAGAGCAUGACCCGCAGUAUCGGGACUGAGACACUGCCCGGACUCCUACGGGAGGCUGCAGUAACGAAUAUUCCGCAAUGCACGAAAGUGUGACGGAGCAAUGCCGCGUGCAGGAUGAAUCCCCUCGGGGUGUAAACUGCUGUCAGUGACUAGAAAAAAAAUGAUCAGUCGCAAAGGAAGGACCGGCUAAUCUCG
rnacentral:rRNA from 1 species